ACUAAACAGCUAGCUUAACUAACACACUAAACCACACAACAUUAAUAAAGUUUAACAAACAUAAAUAAAAAAACUAAACCAUUCUACUGCCUUAGUACGGGCGACGAAAAAGGCAUGCACAAGCGAUAGAAAAAGUACCGCAAGGGAAAGCUGAAAGAGAAAUGACACAAAUCAUUUAAGUAAAACAAAGCAGAGAUUAAACCUCGUACCUUUUGCAUCAUGAUUUAGCCAGUCCAAUUGAGCAAAGGGAACUUUAGUUCAAACCCCCGAAACCAAGUGAGCUACCUCGAGACAGCCUUCAAUAUAGGGCCAACCCGUCUCUGUGGCAAAAGAGUGGGAAGAGCUCCAGGUAGCGGUGACAGACCUACCGAACUUGGUGAUAGCUGGUUGCCUAGAAAAUGGAUACAAGUUCAGCCUCAUACCCCUUAGUUCAACACUUAUUUACUUCACGACGAACCCAAGAGACAUAUGAGAGUUAUUCAAAGGAGGUACAGCUCCUUUGAACAUGGAUACAACCUUUCAAGGAGGUUAAGGAUUACACCCUACAAGAUCACUGUUUAAGUGGGCCUAAAAGCAGCCACCCUUACAGAAAGCGUUAUAGCUCAGACAGACCCUAAUCUAUUAUCCUAAUAACUACUCCGAAACCCCUAAAACUACUAGGCCAUUCCAUGCUAACAUGGAAGAGACCCUGCUAAAAUUAGUAACAAGAAAGCAACCCUUUCUCCUAGUUCCAGUGUAAGUUAGAUCGGACCCACCACUAACAAAUUAACGACCCCAAUCAAAGAGGGCACUGUAAUCUAUAAAAAACACAAGAAAAGCCUACAAAUAUUAAUCGUUAACCCCACACAGGAGAACCUAAUGGAAAGACUAAAAGAAGAGGAAGGAACUCGGCAAACACAAGCCUCGCCUGUUUACCAAAAACAUCGCCUCCCGCAAAUCUCAAUGUAUAGGAGGUCCUGCCUGCCCAGUGAAUUAGUUUAAACGGCCGCGGUAUCUUAACCGUGCAAAGGUAGCGCAAUCACUUGUCUUUUAAAUGAAGACCCGUAUGAAUGGUGAAACGAGGGCUUAACUGUCUCCCCCCUCAAGUCAGUGAAAUUGAUCUGCCCGUGCAGAAGCGGACAUAAAAAUACAAGACGAGAAGACCCUUUGGAGCUUAAGACACCAAGACCAACUAUGUCAAAACCUGUAAUGAACAGACUAAACAUAAUAUACAGCUGGUCCUAGUCUUCGGUUGGGGCGACCACGGGGGAAAACAAAGCCCCCACGCGGAAUGGGAAAAUACCCUAAAACUAAGAGGGACACCUCUAAGUCGCAGAAAAUCUGACCAAUAUAGAUCCGGCUAACAGCCGAUCAACGAACCAAGUUACCCCAGGGAUAACAGCGCAAUCCCCUCCCAGAGUCCCUAUCGACAAGGGGGUUUACGACCUCGAUGUUGGAUCAGGACAUCCUAAUGGUGCAGCCGCUAUUAAGGGUUCGUUUGUUCAACGAUAAAAGUCCUACGUGAUCUGAGUUCAGACCGGAGCAAUCCAGGUCAGUUUCUAUCUGUAACGCUAUUCUUUCCAGUACGAAAGGACCGAAAAAAUGAGGCCCAUAUUAAAAACACGCCUCACCCUUAAUUAAUGAAAUCAACUCAACUAACUAAAAGGAAGGCAUGCCCCCAACUCGAGACAAGGUCAU
rnacentral:rRNA from 2 species